GCCUAUUAAUAAGCGGAGGAAAAGAAACCAACAGGGAUUGCCUCAGUAACGGCGAGUGAAGCGGCAAAAGCUCAAAUUUGAAAUCCCCCCGGGGAGUUGUAAUUUGAAGAUUGCGUCUUGGAGGCGACCGUGUCUAUGUUCCUUGGAACAGGACGUCACAGAGGGUGAGAAUCCCGUGCGGCACGGCCCCCGGCUCCUUAUAAGGCGCUCUCGACGAGUCGAGUUGUUUGGGAAUGCAGCUCAAAGUGGGUGGUAAAUUCCAUCUAAAGCUAAAUACAGGCGAGAGACCGAUAGCGAACAAGUACAGUGAUGGAAAGAUGAAAAGCACUUUGAAAAGAGAGUGAAACAGCACGUGAAAUUGUUGAAAGGGAAGGGCAUGCCGUCAGAUUGUCAGUGUGGGUAAGAAGCGGGGUACAAAGACUGUGGAACGUGGCCCUCGGGUGUUAUAGCCGCAGUUCAUGCCCCGUCUCUUUCCGAGGCCUGCUUUGAGGACACCGACGUAAUG
rnacentral:rRNA from 1 species